rnacentral:rRNA from 1 species
GUGCCAGCAGCCGCGGUAAUACGGAGGGUGCAAGCGUUAGUCGGAAUUACUGGGCGUAAAGGGCGCGUAGGCGGGGAUGUAAGUCAGAUGUGAAAAACCGAAGCUCAACUUCGGCCCCGCAUCUGAAACUGCGUUUCUAGAGGAAGAGCGGAGAAAACGGAAUUCCACGUGUAGCGGUGAAAUGCGUAGAUAUGUGGAAGAACACCUGUGGCGAAAGCGGUUUUCUAGCUUAUUCCUGACGCUGAGGCGCGAAAGCAAGGGGAGCAAACAGGAUUAGAUACCCUGGUAGGCC